rnacentral:lncRNA from 1 species
CAGAUGUCACGCUACCAUUACACAUUUCUUGAUUCAUUUCUAAAUUUAUAUGAUAACCAAGAAGUUCUGAGUCACAAACCCAUUAGACCUAUAAGACCAAGUCCAGAGAUGUCCAUAAAACACCGACUUUGUUUUAAAAAAGGAUUAUUAAUCUUGUUGAUUACAGGAAUACAAUUAUACAUGCAAAUAAGAAAUAUUUAGACCAGUCAUGACUCAUGUAUGAAGAAAUUCAAGUUAAAUCAAACAGAACAAACCCACUUCCUUUUCAAAUUUGACAAUCGUUUGCCAGAUACGAUGUCGUUUGAAUACGAAGCCAAAAGCGUUAUUAUUUAUAUUCAUAAGAUUGAGAAUACGAAAUUAGACGUGCACCCAAAAGAAGGAAGAACGAAACCAGAGACGGCAUCGUUUUGAAUUAUUUGACAUGUUUACCCCUGAGUUUAACACCAAGAACCUUCUCCAUCUUGGCAAGCACGGCCUGGUUAGGAACAGCUUUCCCGUUUUCGUAUUCUUGAACCACCUGUGUCCGC